ACUCUUCAGCAGUGCACAUAUUAAAAUAGAAAAAACACAGGAGAGAUCACCAUGGCCCCUGCACAAGGGUGAUGGGAAAGCCGCGAAGCAUCCCAUAUUUUA